rnacentral:rRNA from 1 species
UUCACAAGUACCGUGAGGGAAAGCUGAAAAGGACUCUGAAGAGAGAGUUCAAGAGGACGUGAAACCAUUAGAAGCUCAAACGGGUGGAACUGUGAUGGUCGAAAGAGGGGAUUCAGCCGGCCGGGUGUGUCUCUGGCGGCGGGUGCGGUACAGGCUUUUGUGUGAGAAAGGACCCGGCGUGAAAGUGAGUUGCCGUGGCCCCGCGCCUGCCGACCAGAGCCCUGUCGGCUUACUUCUCCCUCGAGUAGCGAUCGUCGCGACCCGCUGGGCGGGCCCCGAGGGCCGCGCCGGACUGGUAGCCUGCAACUCGUUGGAGGCGAUGACCGGCCGCGGUGCUGACUGGGCCUGCCCGGCGGUCACUGCAGGGAGGCCCUAACCGGCCUCUCGCGACGUGGAAGGGAUCGGUAAUCCACCCGACCCGUCUUGAAACACGGACCAAGGAGUCCAACAUGUGCGCGAGUCUAAGGAUGACCUAAAUCCGAAGGCGAAAUGAAAGUGAGCCCCUUUGGCGGGCAGGCCGAUCCCCUUGUCGGCCGGGGUCCGGAGGCCCGGCGGCGUGAGUGAGUUUCCGCCGUCGUCUGGCAGCCGGUGCCCCGGUCUCGGCGGCCGGCCGUGCUUGUCGCGGUCGGAGAUGGGGCGCAGGCCGAGGACUUGCCACAGUGCGGCGCGGGCGACGGGGCCUCUUCCGACCUCUUCACGGGGGUUCUGGCGGGGGUCCUUACCCCGAAGUCCGUCGGCAAGUACCUGAGAGCGCAGCCGUUGGGACCCGAAAGAUGGUGAACUAUGCCUGGCGAGGACGAAGCCAGAGGAAACUCUGGUGGAGGUCCGAAGCAGUUCUGACGUGCAAAUCGAUUGUCAGAGCUGGGUAUAGGGGCGAAAGACUAAUCGAACCAUCUAGUAGCUGGUUCCCUCCGAAGUUUCCCUCAGGAUAGCUGGCAUUCGGAGGUAAAAUGAGUUUCAUCCGGUAAAGCGAAUGAUUAGAGGCCUUGGUGGUGCAAUGCCGUCAACCUAUUCUCAAACUUUAAAUGGGUGAGAUGUGGAGCUUGCUUGAGCAGCUCUGUUGUGAAGCUCUAUAAUGCAAAGAAUCAGAAUGCCU